rnacentral:rRNA from 1 species
UACGGAGGGGACUAGCGUUGUUCGGAAUUACUGGGCGUAAAGCGCACGUAGGCGGAUUUGUAAGUCAGGGGUGAAAUCCCGAGGCUCAACCUCGGAACUGCCUUUGAUACUGCAAAUCUCGAGUCCGGAAGAGGUGAGUGGAAUUCCUAGUGUAGAGGUGAAAUGCGUAGAUAUUGGGAGGAACACCGGUGGCGAAGGCGGCUCACUGGACCGGUACUGACGCUGAGACGCGAAAGCCAGGGGAGCAAACGGG